CAGCCGCCGCGGUAAUACCGGCGGCCCGAGUGGCGGCUACUAUUAUUGGGCCUAAAGCGUCCGUAGCCGGGCUGGUAAGUCCUCCGGGAAAUCUGGUCGCUUAACGAUCAGACUUCCGGAGGAUACUGCUGGCCUAGGGACCGGGAGAGGCCGAGGGUAUUCCCGGAGUAGGGGUGAAAUCCUAUAAUCCCGGGAGGACCACCUGUGGCGAAGGCGCUCGGCUGGAACGCGUCCGACGGUGAGGGACGAAGGCCAGGGGAGCAAACCGGAUUAGAUACCCGGGUAGUCCUGGCGGUAAACGAUGCGGACUUUGUGUCGGACAAGCUAUGAGCUUGUCCGGUGCCGGAGGGAAACCGUUAAGUCCGCCGCCUGGGGAGUACGGCCGCAAGGCUGAAACUUAAAGGAAUUGGCGGG
rnacentral:rRNA from 1 species